rnacentral:rRNA from 1 species
GGACCCGCACAAGCGGUGGAUGAUGUGGUUUAAUUCGAUGCAACGCGAAAAACCUUACCCACCUUUGACAUGUACGGAAUUCGCCAGAGAUGGCUUAGUGCUCGAAAGAGAACCGUAACACAGGUGCUGCAUGGCUGUCGUCAGCUCGUGUCGUGAGAUGUUGGGUUAAGUCCCGCAACGAGCGCAACCCUUGUCAUUAGUUGCUACAUUCAGUUGGGCACUCUAAUGAGACUGCCGGUGACAAACCGGAGGAAGGUGGGGAUGACGUCAAGUCCUCAUGGCCCUUAUAGGUGGGGCUACACACGUCAUACAAUGGCUGGUACAAAGGGUUGCCAACCCGCGAGGGGGAGCUAAUCCCAUAAAACCAGUCGUAGUCCGGAUCGCAGUCUGCAACUCGACUGCGUGAAGUCGGAAUCGCUAGUAAUCGUGGAUCAGAAUGUCACGGUGAAUACGUUCCCGGGUCUU